GAUCAUGGCUCAGGACGAACGCUGGCGGCGUGCCUAAUACAUGCAAGUAGAACGCUGAAGGAAGGAGCUUGCUCUUACCGGAUGAGUUGCGAACGGGUGAGUAACGCGUAGGUAACCUGCCUGGUAGCGGGGGAUAACUAUUGGAAACGAUAGCUAAUACCGCAUAAGAGUAGAUAUCGCAUGAUAUGUGCUUAAAAGGUGCAAUUGCACCACUACCAGAUGG
rnacentral:rRNA from 1 species